AAACAGCCAGCAUGCUGAUCUUGGACUUCCAGCCUCCAGAGCUGCGAGAAACAAAUGUCUGUGGUUUAAACCUCCCAGUGUGUGGUAAUUUCUUAGAGCAGCCCAAACUGCCUAGGACGCAAGCCAACGCUGGGCGAUUCCAUCACCGAAGGGAGUCAGGGAGGAUGGAUCUGGGAGACAAGAACGUGCCCUGCCACAAAGCAAACUGCUUCUCGAAUCUACGACUACAGACCCCCUACCACACAGAACAAACCAGAAGACUUGACGGGGACACAGUGAGCACGAGUGACAUUGAUUUAGGCCUUCCUGGGGUUUGAAACCCAACUGAGUCUUUUAUAUUCAGAAUCAACUAGAAACCUCAGAACAGCCCUACAAGGCUGGUUCUCUAUCAUCCCCAUUUUACAGAUGAGAAAAAGAGAGGAUUAGAACGCUAAGCAACUUUUCCAGGAUGAGGAAGCGUCAGAGUUGGAAUCUGACCCAAAGCACUGUGUCUAGAGGUGGUGCUUUGAUCCCCACAUUGCACUGCCUUCCUAGAGCCACAGAAUUCCCGGCCCCACCUCUGAUCCUCUCAGGGUCUUUUUGGCGGACAAGCACUAGGGUGGCCCCAGGAUCUGAUGCUCAUCUCCCGUGUGAGCCCCUCCCCUUGACUGUGGACAGAAGCUGUGAAUUGCUUCUAGACGUGACGACCAUGGAAAAGGUGAUGGAUGGCGGUGAUUAGGUGCAUGUGAUUACGUUACACAAGACUGGAACACCUGUCGUGCUGGGUGUGAAUGAGCAAGCCGCCGUGUUGUAGUGCCCUUUGGAAAAGGCCACGUGGCAGUGAACUGAGGGCAGCCUUGAGCCUCCAGCCAAAAAGAAAAUGCACCCUCCGUCCAGCAGCCUGUAAGGAACCACCAACAACCGCCUGGGCUUGGAAGCAGACGCCCUCCCCAGCCAAGCCUCAGAUGAGACCGCAGCCCCAGCCAGCACCUUCACUGCAGCUCUGGGAGACACAGAGCAGAGGACCCGGUCACGCUGCACCCAGAUUCCUGACCCAUGAAAAUUAUGAGGGAGUAAAUAGCACCUGCUAUAUGCCUUGUGUGGUUGUGAUCACUGCAGACAAUAACAGCUUCCUACAAAAAUGCAAGAACACGGUUGUAUGCUCUUACAGUUCUGGAAGAUGGAAGUCCAUCAGGGUCUUGCUGGGCUAACACCAAGGGGCCAGCAAGGCUGCACUCCU
rnacentral:lncRNA from 1 species